rnacentral:rRNA from 1 species
UUGAACUGAAGAGUUUGAUCCUGGCUCAGAUUGAACGCUGGCGGCAUGCCUAACACAUGCAAGUCGAACGGCAGCAUGGUCCAGCUUGCUGGACUGAUGGCGAGUGGCGAACGGGUGAGUAAUGCGUAGGAAUAUGCCUUAGAGAGGGGGAUAACCCGGGGAA